UCCAUGUUUAUUGCCGCUCCCUCCGCGGCUUGUAUUGCUUGGCAGAGUAUCUAUGGAGAGUUUGAUGGGAUAUCCAGAAAUUGCUACUUCAUUGCCUUGUUUCUCUACAUUUCACUUGUCGUCCGGAUCAAAUUCUUCACUGGUUUUAGGUACAAUAUUUUCACCAUCAAAAUACAAUUCAACUUUGGUUAAAUUUCAACAAUCUAGAUUUUGGGAAAAAAGAGUUUACAUGAUUGAAGGUGUGCAAAGGAAUAACUAUGUAUUGUUUUAUUUGACAGGUUUUCAGUGGCGUGGUGGGCUUACACCUUUCCGAU
rnacentral:lncRNA from 1 species